rnacentral:ncRNA from 1 species
AAUUGUUGGUCUUCAACGAGGAAUGCCUAGUAAGCGCGAGUCAUCAGCUCGCGUUGACUACGUCCCUGCCCUUUGUACACACCGCCCGUCGCUCCUACCGAUUGAAUGGUCUGGUGAAGUGUUCGGAUCGCGGCGACGGGGGCGGUUCGCCGCCCCCGACGUCGCGAGAAGUCCAUUGAACCUUAUCAUUUAGAGGAAGUUGAAGUCGUAACAAGGUUUCCGUAGGUGAACCUGCGGAAGGAUCAUUG